rnacentral:snRNA from 1 species
UACCUCUGGCUCCUUCGCAUUCAAGCUAGAAAACAUUUCGCCUUCUACUGAAGAUUUCCGUGCAGAGGUGCAUUUUAUAAGCAUCAAACAAUUUUUGAGAUCCCUGGAAAGAGCGGAGUG